rnacentral:misc_RNA from 1 species
GAUCAUCUUGAUCGGUUUAAACUCUUCUAUUAAACAUGCGAAUGUAUUGUCUUGAUAGAAUUCGAAUAAACUAGCAUGUUCAUAUCAAUGUUUGAGAUCACUUUCGACUCCUUAUUCAUUCUUUUAUCAAUUCUUCUAUUUUUCUGCCUGAGCAGAGUUUCAACACUUAGAAAAUUUUUGAAAAAAUUGCAUUCAAAACUUCAAUAAAAGUGAUGAUAAAGUCUAAUAGGCUUGAAUACAUACAUUAUUUAACAGCUAAACGAACCUUUAGACUUAAAAGAAAAAUAAUUGUUUUUUUCAUCAAGCAAAUUAGAACUCAUAAAUGUGCAUUCUUUUCUUAUUGUUUUAAAAAAAUAUAAUAAAAUAUUAAUUCUCAAAAAUAGAAAAUAUACAUCAUAAAGACUCAAAUAUACAAAAAUGUAAUUUGAUGCAAGAAAUCAAUAACAUUAUUUGAUUGUCAGAUUGUGACUAGGAAUCAUUCUUGUGAAGCAACUAAUUCAACAGUUUUUAAAAUAUUAAUUAUGUAAUCUAAAGAAAUUUAAUUUACAGGGAAAAAAAAAUUAGUUACGGGAAAAAAAAUUUUAUGUACGGGACAGAAAUUUUUGAGUACGGGAAACAGAAAUU